GUGACGAGCCGAGCUCAGGGACAACACAUCCAGACUUCUCAGAAAUGCCUGUGGGGAGAGGACAUGUUUUUCAGUCCCGUCCAAAGAUGGGGAUUGGACCACACAGCGUGGCUGAAGAGGGGCGGCAUUCCCAAGAAAGCCCUCAGCAGACUGUGCCUCCCACUCCACACCAGCAUUGCCCAACACGUCCAGGCCCUGAAGCCAAGAAGCCCUGGAAGGAAUCCACCUCCCUUCUUCAACACGCUGGGCGCGAAGCCGGGAGGGAGCGCGUUGUGACCUUCCCAGGGUGCUGCUCCCAUCCCCAGUAGCACAUGGAGCAGGCCACCUGGCUCUGGAAGUGGGACCUAGCCCUUUCCAUCCAACGUGACUGGAGUGAGAGAAUCGCGUGGGUUUCGUUACCGACUAGGGUCCCGACUGACAGAGCCUGAGCAAAGUUCAUUGUCUGUUUCUUCUGUUCAUGAGUGUUUUGUUGACAUGUAUGUCUGUGCACUAUGUGUGUCUGGUACCCAUGGAGCCCAGAAGAGGGCAUCAGAUCCCUGGAACUGGAGUUACAGACUGCUGUGAACCACCACGGGGGUGUGUGGAAUGGAACCCAGGUUCUUGGCAAGAGCAGCCAGUGUUCCUGAGCACUGAGCCAGCCCUCUGGCUGCAGCAGAGCUCACGGUAACGAUGAGGAUGUGCCCGGAAGCCAUGGGGUGAGAGGAACUGGGAACAGUGGCUGCAUAGGGGUCCUUUGUCGUCUCUCUUACAUAACCAGCUGUGUGUGGUCGCUAUGAGACCAAGGCAGGUCCUUCUAUCUCGUUCUCUUCCAUCUUCCACCUAGCUCUUGUCUGCACAGUUCAAACUCAUGCCCAGGAUAUUACAUUUCAAGCAGUAAAAUGGAGAGAAGGUAAGGAAAAGAUCCCGGAGCCCAGCGGUGGUGGUGCACACUUUUAAUGCCAGCACUCGGGAGGCAGAGGCAGGCAGAUCUCUGUGAGUUCAAGGCCAGCCUGGUUUACUUAGUGAGUUCCAGGACAGCCAGGGCUACACAAAGAAACUCUGUAUCAAAAACAAACAAACAAAAGAUCAAGUGUCCCCCACACAUGCCCACUCACCUUUAAGGUGAGGAUUUAAAAGCAGGUCACAUGAAGUCCGCUCAUAGCUUUUGUACUGAAGUAGCAUAUUUAAUUUCAAAGGAUGCUAGGAAUGUAGUCCUUAACUGGAUGGGCUAGCGCCUAGCUUCAAACCAAUUUGUACGAAAAAAGAGAAUUGAUAUUGGAUCCAAUUAGGAUCUGACCCAACAGCUCAGAUGAACCCACGGCUACAAAUACAGCUGUUGGCAGCUGUCAGGGUAACAGAUGAGACACUCGAGGUAGAAAGGGGCCACACAGUAAAACUGUCCACAGUUUCAUCCACAAGGCCACAAGCCACUUGAAGUGCCGUGUUAAGUGUUUCCUGCACAGCCUCCUGCUGGCCUCACAUUUUGAUGGUAAGCUGCUUCUCCGUGGCAGCAGGCCCGUGUCCCCGAAAGGAGGCUGCUCUAAGCCCCCCUCUCCCUCUCUGCCAGCCCUCACCCUGAUUACACAAAAGGUCCUACCCUACUCACUAAGAGCUCACUAAGGCUCAGGGGUUAAGGGCACUGACUGUUCUUCCAGAGGACCCAGGUUCAAAUCCCAGCACCCAUAUGGCAGCUAACAACUGUCUGUAACUGCAGUUCCAGGGAUCUGACUCCCUUACACAGACAUACAUGUGGGCAAAACAUAAAAUACAAAUAAAUAAAUUAUUUAAAAAAAAAAAAAAAAGAGUCUAGCUUCCUGGCCCACCCCAGGCCAGGGCAGCAGGGACAGACAAAGCCCUGGCACAAAGCUUCCCCGAAGUCUGGGUGAGGCAAUCUGAUAGCUGAAGUCUGGGUCCCUCUACCUUUACCUAUCCCAAACAGGAGUCCUCUCUGUGGCCUCUUCCCAUGGCAAGGGAACCCAAAUUCUAGUCGGUGGGAAUCUCAGAGGCCAUUUCCCUCUCCAAUUGUAGAAGGUGAAUCUGGGCAUGGUGACACCCACCUGUGAUCCAGCACCAAAGAGGCUGAAGGAGGAAGGAUCAACAGCAGUUCAAGGUCAGCCUGAGCUCCAGGGGAGACACUGUCUCUCUGAACAGAUGACUCAGCAUGAGACUUGAGCUUGAUCCCCAGAACUGGGGAGGUGAGGGAGGGAUCCAGGCUGAGUGGCACGCACCUGUAAUUCCAAUGCUGGGGAUACCGAGUCAGGCAAUCCCUGGGCCUUGCUCACCAGCCAGCCCUGACACCUUGGUGAGUUCCAGAUCAGUGAGAAGCCCUGACUCCAAAACAAGGUCAACAACAUCUGAGGAAUGACACCCAACACAUGCACACACCUGCACAUGCACACACACACAAGAACAAGGGCCCGGCCAGGCCAUCCCCUCACCAAUGUGCAACCGAAGACACGUCACAAGACCACCCCUGGCCUCAGUUUCCUCCCCCCAGGUCCCUGCAGAGAUCCGGGUAGAUGCUCACUUAGCACUGAAGCUGGCUGGAGGUUUAUACCCAGUGCGCGUAUUGGUUCCAUUAACAGUCCCUAUUACUGGGCCGACAAGAUGGCUCAGUGGGUAAAGGCGCUUGCUGCCAAGCUUGAUGACCCAAGUUCAAUUCCCAGGACCCACAUGGCAGGAGAGAACUGACUCCUGCAAGUUGCCCUGUUUUAGGACAGGCCGUCGUUGGUCUCUCCCAGAAUGAUAGGGCAAGAUUAUAUGUUAUCUUCAAAGAAACUGCUCUAACAAUAAUAAAAUGCCACCCCCCCUGCCCCGAGGCUCGUGUGUGGGGAUACUUGGUUCCCAGCUGGUGGCAUUAUUUGGGUGUUGUGGAACCUUUGGGAGGUAUGGUCUGGCUGGUGAACAUCAGAUCUCUUGGAAUGAGCACUGUGGGUUAUAGCCUGACCCUGUUUCGGGUCCUGUCUCUGCUUCCUGACCUGCCAGGAUGUGAGAAGCUGCAUGCCCAAGCACCCACUGGCCAGGGGACACUGCCUCUCCCACUAUGAUGGACUGUAUUGUUUUCUUCCCUGGAAUUGCGUGAAUCGCAUGAAUCGCGU